CCUACGGGAGGCAGCAGUGGGGAAUAUUGCACAAUGGGCGCAAGCCUGAUGCAGCCAUGCCGCGUGUAUGAAGAAGGCCUUCGGGUUGUAAAGUACUUUCAGCGGGGAGGAAGGCGAUGCGGUUAAUAACCGCGUCGAUUGACGUUACCCGCAGAAGAAGCACCGGCUAACUCCGUGCCAGCAGCCGCGGUAAU
rnacentral:rRNA from 2 species